rnacentral:rRNA from 1 species
UACGGUAGGGGGCUAGCGUUGUCCGGAAUCAUUGGGCGUAAAGCGCGUGUAGGCGGUCCGGUAAGUCCGCUGUGAAAGUCGGGGGGCUCAACCCUCGGAUGCCGGUGGAUACUGUCGGGCUUGAGUACGGAAGAGGCGAGUGGAAUUCCUGGUGUAGCGGUGAAAUGCGCAGAUAUCAGGAGGAACACCGAUGGCGAAGGCAGCUCGCUGGGACGGUACUGACGCUGAGGCGCGAAAGCGUGGGGAGCGAACAGG